AACCCCGGCGAGGGGAGUGAAAAAGAACCUGAAACCGUGUACGUACAAGCAGUGGGAGCACAGGUUUACCUGUGUGACUGCGUACCUUUUGUAUAAUGGGUCAGCGACUUAUAUUCUGUAGCAAGGUUAACCGUAUAGGGGAGCCGAAGGGAAACCGAGUCUUAACCGGGCGUUAAGUUGCAGGGUAUAGACCCGAAACCCGGUGAUCUAGCCAUGGGCAGGUUGAAGGUUGGGUAACACUAACUGGAGGACCGAACCGACUAAUGUUGAAAAAUUAGCGGAUGACCUGUGGCUGGGGGUGAAAGGCCAAUCAAACCGGGAGAUAGCUGGUUCUCCCCGAAAGCUAUUUAGGUAGCGCCUCGUGAAUUCAUCUCCGGGGGUAGAGCACUGUUUCGGCUAGGGGGCCAUCCCGGCUUACCAACCCGAUGCAAACUGCGAAUACCGGAGAAUGUUAUCACGGGAGACACACGGCGGGUGCUAACGUCCGUCGUGAAGAGGGAAACAACCCAGACCGCCAGCUAAGGUCCCAAAGUCAUGGUUAAGUGGGAAACGAUGUGGGAAGGCCCAGACAGCCAGGAUGUUGGCUUAGAAGCAGCCAUCAUUUAAAGAAAGCGUAAUAGCUCACUGGUCGAGUCGGCCUGCGCGGAAGAUGUAACGGGGCUAAACCAU
rnacentral:rRNA from 1 species